ACCAAGGAGUCUAACAUGUGCGCGAGCCGCGGGGCAGUACGAAACCCGUAAGGCGAAAUGAAGGUGAACGCCGGCGCGGUCCGGCGGAGGUUGGAUCCAGUCCCGUCGGGGCGGGCGCACUACCGGCCGAUCUUCUCCGCCCUGUCGGCGAGGUCGAGCGAGAGCGUGCAAGUCGGGACCCGAAAGAUGGUGAACUAUGCCUGAGGAGGUUGAAGCCAGAGGAAAU
rnacentral:ncRNA from 1 species